GAGCUGUGGCCAGAUGAGAGUUGUGCUGAGGCUCAAGACGGUGAGCUGGACGGGCUGUGGACGACCAUCUCCAUUUUCAUCACCCUCUUCCUGCUUAGCGUGUGCUACAGUGCCACCGUCACCCUCUUCAAGGUGAAGUGGAUCUUCUCCUCAGUGGUGGAGCUGAAGCGUACAAUCAUCCCUGACUACAAGAAUAUGAUCAGGCAGGGGGCCUAGGGUCACCCUUCCUGCUCUGGCAUCCAGGGAUUGUACAUAGAGGAGGUGCUGUCCUGGCCUCAGACCUCACAGAAGAGAAGCCAUUGGCCCCAUGCAGCUCAACCCCCCUCUCCAGAUCUGCACCUCUCACCUCUGACCUCAUUGACCCCUGAUCUUGCCACCCUCUGACCGCACAGGCCUUUGACCCUGCUCUUUCUGACCCUGCCACCCUCUGAACUGCUGCCUCAUCUACAUCCCCUUGGAGAACUUUGAAGGCAGCAAACUCUAACCCCAGACCUCAGCUGCCUGGACACCUGCUGGUUCCCCCAUAACCAAGCACAUGUGCACAGCAGCAACCAGAAGUGCUGGCCAGGGUGGGUUGCAGACAGAACCAUGUGCACUUCUCGGGCUCAACACACUGAGAGCAGGAGCAUCAGAUCCUGUUCCAAUAACUCAGACCCAGACACAUCACUGCCCAGCUCGUGCAGAUUCACACUGAAUGGGGAGUUACCAGGGCCAAAUGUCCAGGUGUCCAUCAGGGAAAGGGCAGUCCUUUGAAGGAAUCAGAGCUGAGAUUCCACCCUUGGCCAGGCUCCAGGUUGCAAGGGUUUCCCACACAGGCUGUGGUGGGGACACCGCAUUGUGAAGGGCAGCCCCUGGGAGGUGCCACUGUCCACUUCGCAGAUCUCCCUUCUUCCUGGCCCUCAUCUGGCCACACUCCAUCCUGGGAGCUUCGGUGCACACCUGGCCUGAGGAAGAGUCUCACUGGAGCCUCCAUCCAAUCACUGGUUCACCUCAGCUGAGCCACUGUCCAGCCUCGAUGCUCUGGCACCUUCUUUUAGCAUGGAGAUCUCUGCAAAGACCACACCCUGGAUACCCACAGUAACCUCAGAUGCGGGAUCCAACACAAAUGGACAAACAUUCCUGACUGCCUGCUGGGGAGAGUGAGAUGACAGGCUCAGGACAUCCUGCCGUCUCCCAACCAUCAACCACAGCUCCACUUCAAGGUCUGUCCUCAAAGAUGUGGGCAGUGGGAGUUUGUCCUCACUGUACAGAGGGUAACCCUGCAGAGGAGGAUGUGGGCAGCAGUGCAGGGAUGAGAGAUCUAUCCUUCCCUCCACCUGGGGAGUCCCUGUGGAUGAGGGCCUGAGAUAGGGGUUGUGUCACCUCUGCAGGUGCCCAGACAGGUGCAAGGAUGGGAUGCCUGUGAGGUGUGGGCAUCUCUGCCACUGAGGAAGGGCAGAGGCCCAGUUGGUGACAGUCAGAUGGGUCUCCAGGGAGUGGCUUAGUCAGGAUGUGGUCACAUGAGAGACAGCCUCAGUGGGUCCUAAGGACAGAGGAGGGGAAAGGGAUUUUCUUGUCAUGAGCGAUGGGAGAGUGGGGCCAGCAGGCACAGCCAGCCCCAGUACUGGAUUCCAGGCCUCCAGUCAGUGAGCAUGCAGUGGGGGUUGGGACACAACACAAGAGAUGCCCUCACCUUGGGGGACUGAAUUGGGCAGCUGUGAGAUUUGGUACUAGUUGCAGCCGCAGGGGCCUCAGUACCCCCCUAGGUUCUUUGUCUUAUUGCUUCUCAGGGCAAGAGAGCCAGAUAGCCAGGGACAGAGGUAAAAUCACCCUGCUCUGUGCAACUUGAGCACUGCUAUGCAUGAGAGGAGCCCAGGAGGCUCCUAAGGCCAAGCCACAUGCUCUGGGGAAAACCAUCCCAAUCACACAGGGAACCCUGCUAAAAGGAUAGAGCCUCAAUUAAUAAUGAUGAUUUGGGUCAUGGGGGAGGGGAAAUAGAGAUAAAUUGCUCAGAGGAAAUAUCAGAACAAUAGUUUCAGUAGCUUUUUUCUCUUUAAUUUUCUGAAACCCAUUCAAUGUCUAUAAUGUGCAUGUGUUUCUACUUUGUUAAAAAUGACAAUAAACCACUCUUUAAAAUGA